rnacentral:tRNA from 1 species
AUCGUUGUAGUCUAGUUGGUUAGGAUACUCGGCUCUCACCGAGAGACCCGGGUUCAAUUCCGGCAACGGAA